UUUAAGAUUAAUUAAAGCGUUAUAAAGCCCUCUCACUUAGUAGCUGUGUGACCUCAAACAAGUCACUUUUCCUCAUGUGCAAAAAGAGAAUAGUCUGGGCACCUGUCUCAAAAGGUGGUUGUAGGGAUUAAAUGAGAUAGGCAAUUAAAGAAAAAAGAAAGCUCGAACUCUUUUCAAGGACUCCGAAUUGAGAUAUUGCCAGUCAGGCCAAAUUCUGGGUGAUGUGUGGUAGACGGUGAACAAAUGAUGAAACAAGGAUAGCACCUUGACAGCCAGAAGACAAACAAAGUCAUCCAUAGAGUGUGCAAUUUCCCUUGGAAAGAAUGUAAACAUUCUGCAGUCUAGCCCCAUUGUUAUCAGCUUACAGAAGUUUUCAUAAGCCCGUCCAUCUUUGGCAGUCACACAUUUAUUAGUGCUUUAGUAUCUUCAUCAUCAUAUGACUGAUAGCAUAGAAGGCAUGAACGUAAAGGAAUGACUCUGUUAUGUGUGGCACAUGGAAGUCAGUCACUUUCUAACCCCAGCUCAAGUGCGCCAUGAAAGGCCUCUAGCUCCUGGACAUAGAUUCUAACGCCCUUUGUCCUAGGCUGCCAAGGGCACCCGCCUGGGACACUGAGAAGACAGGUGUUUCGUGUCUCUGCGGGAGACGGACUCUACACCAAGAGCUCUGGGGGAGAUAGGGGUCUUCUGAGAGUAAAGGCUACUUUCUGCUUCUUUUUGACUUGGCAGCACAUAAAAUGGACAUGGACAAAGGCUAAAACCAUUUUUGGUUUUUUGCACAAAGGCACAGCCUUUGUGGUUUAAACCUCUCCUCCUUGGCGGAAAGUGGCUAAGUGUCGGAGUACCUCAGGUGUCUUUGGAGUCUCAUUUGACCAUGACCAUAAAUUCAUGCUGAUAUUAAGGAAAUAGAGAUAUGCACUGGAACUUUUUUCUUUGUAUAUUUGAACUCCAAGUGCCUACUAUCUCCGUUGUAAACCCGCUGGAUUCCUGCAGCCUUGUUUAUAUGAAUGGUUGGUUUUCUAACCUGUACAAUUUACUAUGUGCAUAAAAACAGAAAUGUGUAAAUGCAUGAACACAAACUCCUUAGUGCAGAAAAACCAACCUUGUAAGCACAACUUAUCAAUGCAUGUUUUCUUUAGUUUCAGUGAUCAGUUACUUUAUAAGUGAACAUUCAAAUAUUAAAGCAAUACACAACUUUCUUUUC